AUGACAAAAACAGUGACCUACUGUGACAAACACGUAUCAUCACGGAAGUGUAUUUUUUGUAGUGCAUGGAUCCCUAGGGGGGACACGCGGCGACCGUCGGCCCCUAGAGGCCAGAGCCUGCUCACUAGGGUCUACGAGCUCAUCGACCCGGACACGGGUACCUGGGAUCGGGGCUUAGUUGAGGGAUGUUUUCAUGCUGAAGACAUGCCGUCCAUUCUAAGCAUCCCGAUCUGUGAGCAGGCUGAAGAUUUCGUGGCUUGGCACUAUGAUAGUAAGGGGAUUUUUUCGGUCAAAUCAGCAUAUAAGGUGCAUCUGGCUGUGCUAAAAUGGGAGAGCAUUAGACAAAAGGGACAGACUUCCUUGGGGGAGGUGAUCCAUGCCGACACCUUCAAGCUCAUAUGGGAGCAGAAGUGCCCUCCAAAAGUUCAUCACUUCCUUUGGCGACUGGCGCACAACAGCCAUCCAAUGUACAUGAACAUUGCCAGAAGAGGAGUUGAGCUGGACACACGGUGUGCGGUGUGCGGCCGUCUAUUCGAAGAUGGAGGGCAUUUGUUCUUGAACUGCAAAUGGGUUAAACAACGAUGGCGUAUCCUGCAGUUGGAAGAUGUGAGGCUACGACUAGCUCAGCUCCGGACAGCAAGGGAAGUGGUACAUACCAUCCUGCAUCUUCCUCAAGAUCAAAGGCUACUGGCGAUUGCACUUUUGUGGUCUUGGUGGUCGAAAAGGAAUCGGGGGAAUCAUGGGGAGAGGCGGCUAACCGCGGACGAAUUCCAGUUCCAUGUCCGUUUCCAUGUGACGGAAUGGAAUCGCUACCUUAGGCCGGUUCAGCCAAGCCAAGCGGCUUCCCCCCGAGUGUGGCAGCCGCCUUCUCCAGACCGGGUUAAGAUCAACUGCGAUGGUGCAUACACUGCUGAAACAGGGAGGGGAGGCUGGGGUCUCCUCUGUCAUGACUCCCACAAUGACAUCCUAUUUGCAGCUGCUAGAUCUUCAGGUCACCUCUCUGAUGCGUUGCACGCCGAGACUAUGGCUCUGGCACAAGCUAUCCACCUUGCUGAUCAGCUGGGAGUCGGGAAAGUCCAGUUCGAGACAGUCUGCUCUGUACUUCAGCAUGCCAUAACAACUGGGGCCUAUGAUAUGUCGCCGAUGGGACACAUGUUCAGAGAUCUCAAGGCCAAGCUUAUGACACAAUUUAUCCAGGCUAGUGUGGUGCAUACACCACGUGAUUGUAACAAACCAGCACAUGUGCUGGCUUCAUUUGGUAUGUGUUUAGCUCCUGGGACUUGCAACCAGUGGGCCGACGCCUUCCCUGAUUUUGUAACCCGUGCUGUAACCGGCAAUUCAGCCGUGAUCUAA
rnacentral:rRNA from 1 species